rnacentral:rRNA from 1 species
UACGGAGGGUGCAAACGUUGCUCGGAAUUAUUGGGCGUAAAGCGCACGUAGGCGGCACGUUAAGUCGGAUGUGAAAGCCCGGGGCUCAACCCCGGAAGGGCAUUCGAAACUGGCGCGCUGGAGUACGGAAGAGGGUCGCGGAAUUCCCGGUGUAGAGGUGAAAUUCGUAGAUAUCGGGAGGAACACCAGUGGCGAAGGCGGCGACCUGGGCCGAUACUGACGCUGAGGUGCGAAAGCGUGGGGAGCAAACAGG